rnacentral:rRNA from 1 species
UACAGAGGUGGCAAGCGUUGUUCGGAAUUACUGGGCGUAAAGGGCGCGUAGGCGGCCUUCUAAGUCAGACGUGAAAUCCCCAGGCUUAACUUGGGAACUGCGUCUGAUACUGGGAGGCUUGAGUGCGGGAGAGGGAUGUGGAAUUCCAGGUGUAGCGGUGAAAUGCGUAGAUAUCUGGAGGAACACCGGUGGCGAAGGCGGCAUCCUGGACCGACACUGACGCUGAGGCGCGAAAGCUAGAGGAGCAAACGGG